rnacentral:rRNA from 1 species
GGGGGACGAUAACGGCGUCGAGCGGCGGACGGGUGAGUAAUGCCUAGGAAAUUGCCCUGGUGUGGGGGAUAACCAUUGGAAACGAUGGCUAAUACCGCAUAAUACCUACGGGUCAAAGAGGGGGACCUUCGGGCCUCUCGCGUCAGGAUAUGCCUAGGUGGGAUUAGCUAGUUGGUGAGGUAAUGGCUCACCAAGGCGACGAUCCCUAGCUGGUCUGAGAGGAUGAUCAGCCACACUGGAACUGAGACACGGUCCAGACUCCUACGGGAGGCAGCAGUGGGGAAUAUUGCACAAUGGGCGCAAGCCUGAUGCAGCCAUGCCGCGUGUGUGAAGAAGGCCUUCGGGUUGUAAAGCACUUUCAGUCGUGAGGAAGGUAGUGUAGUUAAUAGCUGCAUUAUUUGACGUUAGCGACAGAAGAAGCACCGGCUAACUCCGUGCCAGCAGCCGCGGUAAUACGGAGGGUGCGAGCGUUAAUCGGAAUUACUGGGCGUAAAGCGCAUGCAGGUGGUUUGUUAAGUCAGAUGUGAAAGCCCGGGGCUCAACCUCGGAAUAGCAUUUGAAACUGGCAGACUAGAGUACUGUAGAGGGGGGUAGAAUUU